GCCUAGGGGAGCACCCCCUUCCCCCUAGGGGUGCAGAAACCGGGGAGGGAAGAGCCAGCAGAGCGGGACGAGGGCAGAGUUGCGGGGAUGGGGUAAGAGGCUGGCCAAGCCGCCCAGACCCCAGAAAUCCAGGGCUCAGAAGGUCGCACAGACCCGGAAAGCGAGAGCGCGUCUGGUUCCCCGCAGGAGGAGGGAAACCCCGGGGAGCGCCCCGCCGUCCCGCCCCCGCCCCCGCCCCCCGCAGCUGCCGCGCGAGAAUCACCGGGUUCAGGAGGUCACAGUCCUGGUCAAGGUUCCCAGAACUGCAGCCAUCCAUCUUCGACGCUGGGGAGCACCGUUCCUGUCAUUGGGAUUUCCUUUCAUUAAUUCAACAAACUUUGAGCACCUUCUCUGCUCUAGGGAAUACACUGAUGAGCAAAACACACAUUCCUGCCUGCAUGGGGUCUGGUUUAAACGUGAAGGGAGGCAGCCUUUAUCCCACACAGUGAUUAAUUACAAACCCCACCCCACCCCCAAGUGCCUCCCAGAGCCCAGCAUUGGUUUGUAAAAUGGGACUGAAUCUGGGGUGCGAGGACAUUUCCUGAAAAAUGACAGGAGGUGAGAGCUGAAGGAUGUGAAGGAGUUAACUCAGGGCGUCUUGGGAAGAAGGCUGGACUCUGAGCACAGGGACAGUACAUGGUGAGAUCAGGGCCCAAGGCCCGCACAGCACAGAGGGAUCAGUGAGUCCAAACUCAACCAGGGGAGUGACAAGGAGAUGCUGGAAAACUCCGGUGGCUGCUGCCAAGGACUGGGGUGCAAGAGGGAACUGGGGUGGGGGGCUGAGACUCUCUUGUCUGGUCUGCAGUGGUGACUCCACAGCGGCACAAAAUACAGAGCACUGGGCACCAAGAAGGCCGGACUCACCGUAAAUUGCAUCUCAGCUAGCCUUGCUUUAGAGUGUUUUUAAAAGAGAGAGAGAAAGAAGCUGGCAAGGUGGGCCAGUACGGCCCCAUGGACCCUGGCAAGGGAUCUGGUCUUGAACCAGCCAUGCUGGCCGCUGAGGAAGGCGGACACCUGGAGCGAUUUUGGAGGGCUCUUGGCACUCAGCAGUGUGACCUCACAGGCCGGGACCUCCGGGGUAGGCACUGCCUGGUGCCACAGACACGGUCCCCCCCUCCCCGGGCUGCAGCUGCUGCUCCUGGCCUCCCUGACCCGGAAGUUAGGAGGAUUUGCUGUUCCUGUAGAAGAUUAGA